CACAUCAUAUACAGCACAAUCAAAUAACAAAUGCAGUAAACACCUGGAGUUCUAAACAAAUGCAAAGAGCAUAAAUUAUUAUUAAUACAAAAAAAAAAUAUUUGCAUAAGAUAUGACAAGGUAGACUCAUUUUCUGGUAUAUUCAAAUGUCAAGACUUGGAUUCUUGACACGGACAUAAAAAUAUUGGCAUCAAAUGAAAACUACAUCAGCAAUUGUCAAGUCUUGUAUUUUCCACAGUGAACCAAUCAAUCUUUCUUUCAUCAACCUGUCUAGAGAAUAAACAAGAUUGAACCUAAAAUCCCCCUAAAACAUGAAUCCUCAGCUUAUUACUUUUGAAACGACGCCAGCGCCAACCGUUCUACCACCCUCCCUCAAA
rnacentral:lncRNA from 1 species